UUAGGGAAGAACAAGUGCGAGAGUAACUGCUCGCACCUUGACGGUACCUAACCAGAAAGCCACGGNUAACUACGUGCCANCAUCCGCGGUAAUACGUANGUGGCAAGCGUUGUCCGGAAUUAUUGGGCGUAAAGCGCGCGCAGGCGGUUUCUUAAGUCUGAUGUGAAAGCCCCCGGCUCAACCGGGGAGGGUCAUUGGAAACUGGGAAACUUGAGUGCAGAAGAGGAGAGUGGAAUUCCACGUGUAGCGGUGAAAUGCGUAGAGAUGUGGAGGAACACCAGUGGCGAAGGCGACUCUCUGGUCUGUAACUGACGCUGAGGCGCGAAAGCGUGGGGAGCGAACAGGAUUAGAUACCCUGGUAGUCCACGCCGUAAACGAUGAGUGCUAAGUGUUAGAGGGUUUCCGCCCUUUAGUGCUGCAGCUAACGCAUUAAGCACUCCGCCUGGGGAGUACGGUCGCAAGACUGAAACUCAAAGGAAUUGACGGGGGCCCGCACAAGCGGUGGAGCAUGUGGUUUAAUUCGAAGCAACGCGAAGAACCUUACCAGGUCUUGACAUCCUUUGCCACUUCUAGAGAAGAAGGUUCCCCUUCGGGGGACAAAGUGACAGGUGGUGCAUGGUUGUCGUCAGCUCGUGUCGUGAGAUGUUGGGUUAAGUCCCGCAACGAGCGCAACCCUUGAUCUUAGUUGCCAGCAUUCAGUUGGGCACUCUAAGGUGACUGCCGGUGACAAACCGGAGGAAGGUGGGGAUGACGUCAAAUCAUCAUGCCCCUUAUGACCUGGGCUACACACGUGCUACAAUGGAUGGUACAAAGGGCUGCGAAACCGCGAGGUUUAGCCAAUCCCAUAAAACCAUUCUCAGUUCGGAUUGCAGGCUGCAACUCGCCUGCAUGAAGCUGGAAUCGCUAGUAAUCGCGGAUCAGCAUGCCGCGGUGAAUACGUUCCCGGGCCUUGUACACACCGCCCGUCACACCACGAGAGUUUGCAACACCCGAAGUCGGUGGGGUAA
rnacentral:rRNA from 1 species